ACUUCUACGCCUCUAGCGAAGCUGGUUGAAUCGAUUGAUUAUCUAUUCACAGAAAUAAUUCAACUAAUAAGAACAUUUCAUAAAUAAUCCUAAGCCUAGACUCCUAGAAUUAAACUGUCUAAAAAAUCUAACUUGAAAAUUCUAUCGAAAAUUCGGUAAAACCUCUACUAAAAUACGAUCAUUUACUUCUCGUAUAAAGGAUCCAGAACCUACUAAAAAUACUUCUAAUAUUCAUCAAAUAUUUAAUAGGAGCCGGGUCAUCCAUAGUUGCAUUAUUUUCCCAACUUUGCAACACACCGCAGUUUACAAUUAAUAAUAAACAGUCUGACAUUAGUAUUUAUUCUACAAUCCAACUCACAAAUAGUUUUUCAAAAUUCUAAUUUAAUUAUUCACAGUCACAAUUACUAUAAAACCGAAUAAUUAUUAAUCACACUAAUUAAUUUAUAAUAUUUAAAAUUAAUCUAACAAUUAAUAAAAUCAAAUUAAAUUAAUUUUUUAUAAUUAACAAUUAAUGGAGUUAAUAUUUUUUAAAAUUUUUAAAUAAUUUAUCAAAUCUAAAUAAAUUUCAUCGAGCCAAAAAUCUAAAUGAAUUAGGAGACACCUAUGUGAACCUUGAGACGUGUGGAGUUCAAGAACACCAAAAUUGUAGCCUAACUCUCGUCGGAAAAUACUGGAUCACGGCAAGAAAGGUGCUACUCCGCUGAGACCAUACUGAGGCUGCCAUCGGAGGAGAGAGGACGAGGAGGGGUUGUCCUUGGGUUUUAGAGGGUGAGGAAUCCAAAUCCGGCAUCAAAUUUGCAAAGAAAUGGCGGCAGGAGGCUAGUUACAACGCGACAGCGAGAACGGCAACUCCUCCUAAAGUCUUCGAUUUUCCAAUGAGAAUAGUGGGUAGAGGGUGUCGUCAGCAAAAAAAAAAAAAGGAAAGGGAAGGGAGUCUGGUGGUUAGGUGGAGGUGCAGGCAGCGAAAAUGGAGGUAGGGUGAAGGAAGUGGGUGGUGACAUCGGGGAAGAAGAGGGAGAGGAGAUGGGGCCUUAUGAAAUUUUCAAAAGAAAAAAAGAAAAAAGCUCCUAUGUCCCCUAAGAAGUAUAAACAUUGUUAUAGAACCAUAAUAGGAAUUAUUUUAUUUAUUUACACAUAUAUACAUACAUAUAUGUAUA
rnacentral:lncRNA from 1 species